CCCCCCCCCCCCCCCCCCCCCAACCCUUCUCUCCUUCCCUCACCUGCGCCCUCGUCCACCUGGGCCUCGUGGUCGGCCAUGGAGGUCUGAUCCCGACCCAUGGAUGGAUGGGGGCGAAACCCUAGCCCCACACCCACCCAUGGAUGGAUGGGGAUGGGGCGACGGCGGCGGCGGCCUUCUCUUGGUGCUUACUGAUGUGGUGGUCCUCGAUGCCGGCGACGGGUUGCAGCACGUAGACGCCAAAGGUUGCGGGUGUGACGGAGGAGCACCAUGGCGGGCGUGCAGGCCAUCUUUCCCUACCAAGUUAUCACUGCUACCCCACCGUAGUCCCUGGCAAGUACAUGUUGCUACCAAGGAAAAUAUGCUUUCUCAUCAAUUUUGCAGCAUGCAUUAGAAAGUUCAAAGUUUAUAUCCUUGAAUAAAUUUCUUCAUGAAGGUGCAUCAGGAUGACCAUCCACCAUUGUUUCUUCGAAAGCACGCGGCAGAGGCACCCACACCCGCGGUUCAGCAAGAUCUACAUCUCCAACAACUACACCAAGGACUGGGGCAUAUACGCCAUAUGCGCCUGUGUUGAAGCUCAGUGUAACAUAUAUGAAGGAGGACAGAAGACGACUGUUUUCAAUUACAUGCCGGAGAAGGCUGCCGACAGAGAAGAGACGACAGCAGGAGCAGAGCCUCUCUCCUGCAAGGCCUUAGGCAUCUUCUUACAAUGCCCAUACAUAUUGCAUAUUCAUAUUACUAUUUUCCGACAAACUUGCCUUUUCAUGGCUGGCUCAAGGUCAUUUCGGAAGAAAAAUCCUACUAAAAUGUUUGUAUAGUUGGCAGUCCGGUGAUUCCAGCUUAUUUGUCUAAUUUGAUGUAGGAAAUGAAUUUUUUUGAGUUUGAGUUCUCAGUAAUGCUUGUUGCCUCCUGUUGUGAUUCUAGGUUGAACUUGCCAAGAUGCUACUAAAUAAGGGCAGGGGCACUUGUUUGAAUACUGGUCAGAACCCGGUGUUGAUGACGACAAAAAGAAAAGCUUCUUUGACAAGGUUUGCCGACUUAAUUCAAGCUAUCCUGUUGGACUGACAUCAUACCAAAAGGCUUUUGGCAGAUUCCAAGUCUGGACAAAAUCCAUACGAUGGUUUCACGCCUUCGGUUCUCUCGGGGAAGUAUUGUCCUUCGGUGAUGACAAUUUUGUUUAAGCACACAAUGUUGCAUUUGUUCUUGUAGCUAGUGGGCUUGGCGAAAGACUUGGUUACAAAGGAAUUAAGGUUAUCAUUGGAAAGUCUAAAAGUUGCACAGGAAGAUCUCGGCAAAUACUUUAAGCCCCAAAGUAACAAAGGUGAGGACCUAAACUGGUGGUAGUGGUACUGGCCUACCUUUCCUUCAGGGAAUGACCAGCGGACCUGAAAGAUGGUAUCGGCAGUUUGAUAAUUGUAGCCCCAAUGGUGCUCUGAGCUCUUUGAACUCAGUCAAUGUGGGACCCUUUUGACAGGAAGUAUGGGAAAUAUUUCGUUGUUGCUGCAGUUAACCUAUGCUAAAAUGCUGGUGUUAAUAACCAUGAAUAAAGGCGCAAGCAUGGCACUGGGCAUGAUUUAUGUAGUACAACGAUUGGGUGAGAGGGUUUAAUUUUCAUAUUUCUUUCAGACAAACAGAUGGAGAUUACAUGGUGAUGUGUGGGGCUUCCUUGGCCAACAACAACUUGAGGUGGCACGGGAAUGGAUCCUGUCAUCAUCCUUGGUGGACUCCCAAUAAAACCAGGAAUGACAAGGGAUGAUCUGUUCAACAAAAAUGCUAGGAUUGUUUGCUCAAUCUGUGAAGGCGUUGCCAAGAGUGUCCUAAUGCAAUUGUGAGUUUGAUCAGCAACCCUGUGAACUCAACCACCCCCAUUGCUGCGCAGGUUUUCAAGAGAGCUGGAACUUAUUAUCCCAAGCGUCUCCUUGGAGUGACAACAUUUGAUGUGGCGAGGCCUAACACCUUUGUGGCGGAAGUGCUUGGAGUUGAUCCAAGAGAAGUCCACAUUCCAAUUAUUGGGACAUGCAGGGCCCACUAUAUUACCCCACCUGUCACAGUCAGCAAAGAAAGCCAGCGCAGAUAAUUUUCAGGUGAUGACCAAUCAAGGGAGGCUGUUGAUGAGAUCAAUGACACCAGAGGGACGGACAGGCAGCUGCAAAGCAUCUGGCAGAGCAGCCGGUGAACAGGAGGAGCAAAGACACCAUCUCUUGUGUCAUUGUAAACAUCUACUGCUAGCAGAGCUUCAGCCGGUGAACAGGAGGAGCUUCAGCUCUGUCGUCGUAAACUUCAACUGUUGGCCGAGCAUCAACCUCAUGCCCCUCAAGUGUACAAUUGGUUCUAUGCCAGUUUGGUUUUACAAUUUUCUGUUGUUAUUCAUACAAUAUAGUGUUUAAUCUGGUUGGGAAUAAUCCACCACCCAAAGGCAUCGAGGCCUAAAAUAUUGUUGUUUGUUCAAAGGUUGUUUGAUUUGUUAUUAGUUGUAAAUUCUAUUGUAAAUUCCUUGCUUA